rnacentral:lncRNA from 1 species
UGAUGACAAAUGUGGUCGGGGAAGUACUCGACAUUAAACGCCUCUACUAAGUUCUCCUAUGUGAUGGGCGUGGGUAGAGUAGUCUGCUUAACUUCCCACCAGCGCUCUACUUCUCCCUAAAGCAUAAAGGUGGCGAGGAUAACCUUCUAUUCAUCAGUCACCCCCAAAGCCCUAAAAAACUUUUCAGUUGUUUUUAGCCAAUUCUCAGCUUUAUAGAAAGUCGAUGCUCCUAUAAAGGGGACUAAAUUCAGUCGCUUGUACCUCUUAACAUAACCUAGAUCUAUCGCUAAUAGAGCUGAGCC